UACAGAGGGGGCGAGCGUUGUUCGGAAUUACUGGGCGUAAAGGGCGCGUAGGCGGCCCUCUAAGUCGAACGUGAAAUCCCCGGGCUCAACCCGGGAACUGCGUCCGAUACUGGAGGGCUCGAAUCCGGGAGAGGGAUGUGGAAUUCCAGGUGUAGCGGUGAAAUGCGUAGAUAUCUGGAGGAACACCGAUAGCGAAGGCAGCUCGCUGGGACGGUACUGACACUGAGAGACGAAAGCUAGGGGAGCGAAUGGG
rnacentral:rRNA from 1 species